GGGGGUGACACGGUUUCGACGGGGAUUGAAAGCGAAGGUGGCAUGCCGGAGUGGGCAGGCUCCGUUAAAAAGCCCAACACAUACAAACGCCGAUACUGACGUUCGUUACGCACUGGCCGCUUAAUUAAGCGACCACGUCUUGUUUUCCAUCGCCCAUGUGGGGCUCAAGACGCUAAUUUAGUGGGCUAGUCCGAGUGAGUGUCUGUGGCACUCGGGCGAAACUCAAGCAGACUCGCCCGGAAGGAAUCCUGUUCGUGGGAGUCCCAAGGGUUAAUUCAAUACACGAACUAAGCAUGUAGAGGCCUUACGUGGAAGAUUUUCGGACGCGGGUUCGAUUCCCGCCACCUCCACCA
rnacentral:tmRNA from 1 species